rnacentral:rRNA from 1 species
AAAACCAAGCGGCCUCGCCUUUUUUNGUUGACUCAUAGUAACUGAGCUGAUCGCAUGGNCUUGCCCCGGCGACGUUNUUUCAAGUUUUNCCGUAUCAACUUUCGAUGGUAGUGUAUCNGACUNCCAUGGUGAUCACGCGUAACGNGAAUAAGGGUUCGACUCCGGAGAGUUCCCUGAGAAAUCGGAACACCUCUAAGGNAGGCAGCAGGCGCGAAAAUUACCCACUCUCNNCGAGGAGGUAGUGGCGAAAAAUAACGAGACCGUUUUUUUAUGAGGCCGGUCAUCGGAAUGGGUACAAUUUAAACCCUUUAACGAGUAUCUAUGAGNGGGCAAGUCUGGUGCCCGCCGCCCCCGUAAUUCCCGCUCUCAAAGUGCAUAGAAUUAUUNCUGCCGUUAAAAAGCUUGUAGUUGGAUCUGUUCCNUUGGUCGGGGUCCCUCCUCAUUGGCUGGUUCUUCGCCCCUAGGCUUUUUGUCGGUCUUCCUGUCGUUGCCUUCACUGUGCGGCGGCAGGUGGCUGACGAGUUUACUUUGAGAAAAUCAGAGUGCUCAACACAGGCGUCUAGCUUGAAUGAUUGUGCAUGGAAUAAUAGAAAAGGAUUUCGGUCCUCUUUUAUUGUCUCNNGGACUGAGACAUGCUAGACCCUCACCACCACAGUCCCCUUUCAUCCUCGACUGGGAGAUACUCGGC